AUGGCGAGUGCGGCGCCAGCCAGGAAGCCGUACCGCAAGGCUCCACCGCAGCACCGCGAGUCACGCCACACCCUGCCCACUGCUCCCCCGCCACCUGCACCGCAGCCCGACAUCAAUCAGGUAAUCAAACACACCUUAAAGACACCCCCACACCCCCCGCAGCACCUUGCCCGUCAGCGGCUGUCUGGCGAUGGGUCGAGGCCUGGCAUCCCAACUCUGCCACCGCCACUCUCAGACAGCGAGCUGGAGGUUUCCAGCCUUUCCAGCCUGGAGCUCUGCACCCCGCCGGCGCUCUUCAGAGGACAUAUCCACCAACCCAGCUCAGCCAGAGCGGUGGUGGCAGGUGUGACUGCAGCCGGUCACGACGCCGUGAUUCCUCACCGAAAGCCGAGGCCCCAGCGCGGCACGAGUCCUCGGAACGUCAAGACUUCCAACAACACAGGAAACCAGGCUUUCCUGGGACAUGGAAGCCCCGCCCCAACCCUGAAACACGCAGUGAGCUGCAACCCCCGAGGAGAGCGUCACCGCCUCAGUUACUGCAUGAACGCCGCUGGCCGGACACAGACUACCGGCGCUCCUCGGAGCAUCCUGAAGCAACCGACUUCGCUGGGUGUGGAGCACACCUAUGACAUCAUCAGGAAGUCAAAGUCGGUGGAGAUGCUGGAUGAUGCCAGAGGGCGGAGCAGUGCCAGCCGGCGCCCUCCAACCCGUUCUCUGGAUCGGGUAGAGCAGCAGGGACUGACCUGGCGGCGGUCCUCGGCCCCGCCCUCCCCUGUCAGGACUGACUGGAACUGGAGGAUGCAGGCGCUGCAGGAGAAGGUCCGCUUCUCCAACUUCUUGGAUGAGAUCACAUGUCGGGUCCUUAGCCCCGCCCGCCUAACGCUGCUCGGCAGGUCAGCUUCUAAAGAGUAUAUAAGCCCCGCCUCCCAGCGCCGCCGCUCUGCCUACAGGAACCAGCAGGUGGAGGGGUCCUCUGCAGAUCGGACUCGGCGCUGGAACGACUGGGUAGCGGCGCUGCAGCGGUCUGAAGGCACGCAGGAGGAGGGGGCGGUGCGGGAGACUGCGAAGCAGCAGCAAGGGUACAGAGAGUGGGCGGGGACUAAACGGCAGGUGAAAAGAGAAGUUAAGGUGGACAGACGUCCUCUCUCUAAUCUGUCACUGCUGUCACACAUCAAGGUAGGUCCACCCCAUUUUUACCCCGCCCCCAACUGUUUCCUGUUGUUGUUUUCCUGCUGGGGGUCAAAAGUCACCAGUCCAGGGUUUUACUCCCUCAGCGGUUCAUACUGA
rnacentral:lncRNA from 1 species